GAUCAUGGCUCAGAUUGAGCGCUGGCGGCAGGCUUAACACAUGCAAAUCGAACGGUAACAUAAAGAAGCUUGCUUCUUUGAUGACGAGUGGCGGACGGGUGAGUAAUGCUUGGGAAUCUAGCUUAUGGAGGGGGAUAACUACGGGAAACUGUAGCUAAUACCGCGUAAUAUCGAGAGAUUAAAGUGUGGGACCUUCGGGCCACAUGCCAUAAGAUGAGCCCAAGUGGGAUUAGGUAG
rnacentral:rRNA from 1 species